UGGUGGACGACGCACAAACUGUGCAACCAAAAAAGCAAGUUUGUGAGCAUAUUGGCAAGGCGCAGGUACUCUAACGGUACCAGACCAAUUAUAAUACAUAUGACAUAACUUGAUAUUAAUUAUAAUAUAUAAAAAAUUAUAUAUUAUACCUGUUGCACGACAAAGUUCCGGAACAAGAUAUACCAAUUCGGCUUGACCAGCACGACGUUCUCUUGGUUUCAAUCUCGUUACAAGCAUUGGUUGAGAGACAUUGUCAAUAGGGAUUUGAUAUUUAUUUUUAUAAUAGUCUCUAUAAGUUACUUUUUCACCGGUUCUUAAUUGAAAAGUUGAAAUAGGACUUGAAUCAAAAUCCACAUCUGAUAUACGAUAUGUAUUAUUGUUGUAAUCACACACAUAAGAAUACUAUUCUCAUGUUGUCUUAUAGAUGUGAGAUAACCAGGCCAAAGUUCCAAUCUAAAAUCACGUACUUCUACCUAUAUUUUAAUUAUGUUAAACAAUUAGUAUUAUAUAGUAUUAUUUUAUAUAUAAAUAUUAAAGAAUUAUAACAAGAA